rnacentral:rRNA from 1 species
GACGCGAGCGUUAUCCGGAUUUACUGGGCGUAAAGCGUGUGUAGGCGGCGUGACAAAGUUGGGCGUGAAAGCCCCGUGCUCAACGCGGGGAGGCCGCACAAUACUGUCAGGCUAGAGGGCACCAGAGGGGUGUGGAAUUCCCGGAGUAGCGGUAAAAUGCGCAGAUAUCGGGAGGAACACCGGUGGCGAAAGCGGCACCCUGGGGUGCGCCUGACGCUGAGAGACGACAGCUAGGGGAGCGAACAGGAUUAGAGACCCUGGUAGUCCUAGCCGUAAACGAUGGAUGCUAGGUGUAGGAGUGAAGAGCUUCUGUGCCGCAGCGAACGCGAUAAGCAACCCGCCUGGGGAGUACGGCCGCAAGGUUAAAACUCAAACGAAUUGACGGGGACCCGCACAAGCAGCGGAGCGUGUGGUUUAAUUCGAUGCUACACGAAGAACCUUACCUGGGAUUGACAUAUGGGUGGUAGUGAUCCGAAAGGAGAGCGACCCUUCGGGGAGCCUAUACAGGUGCUGCAUGGCUGUCGUCAGCUCGUGCCGUGAGGUGUCGGGUUAAGUCCCGUAACGAGCGCAACCCUUGUCCUUAGUUACAAGUGUCUAAGGGGACUGCCGGCGGGAAGCCGGAGGAAGGUGGGGAUGACGUCAAGUCAGCAUGGCCCUUAUAUCCAGGGCGACAACACACGCUACAAUGGUCGGUACAGAGGGCAGCGAAGCCGCGAGGUGGAGCGAAACCCAGAAAGCCGGUCGUAGUUCGGAUUGCAGGCUGCAACUCGCCUGCAUGAAGUUGGAGUUGCUAGUAACCGCAGGUCAGCCAUUCUGCGGUGAAUACGUUCCCGGGUCUUGUACACACCGCCCGUCACGUCAUGGGAGUCUGUAACGCCUGAAGGCGUAGCCUGACCGCAAGGGAGGCGCUGUCGAG